rnacentral:rRNA from 1 species
UGCCAGCAGCCGCGGUAAUACGUAGGUGGCGAGCGUUGUCCGGAAUUAUUGGGCGUAAAGCGUGCGUAGGCGGUCUAUUAAGUCUGAUUUGAAAGCCCAUGGCUUAACCAUGGAGGGUGAUUGGAAACUGGUAGACUUGAGUACAGGAGAGGAAGGUGGAAUUCCACGUGUAGCGGUGAAAUGCGUAGAUAUGUGGAGGAACACCGGUGGCGAAGGCGGCCUUCUGGCCUGUGUCUGACGCUGAGGCACGAAAGCGUGGGUAGCAAACAGGAUUAGAUA